UACGUAGGGUGCGAGCGUUAAUCGGAAUUACUGGGCGUAAAGCGUGCGCAGGCGGUCCGCCAAGUCUGAUGUGAAAGCCCCGGGCUCAACCUGGGAACUGCAUUGGAAACUAACGGGCUCGAGUGUGGCAGAGGGGGGUGGAAUUCCACGUGUAGCAGUGAAAUGCGUAGAGAUGUGGAGGAACACCGAUGGCGAAGGCAGCCCCCUGGGCUAACACUGACGCUCAGGCACGAAAGCGUGGGGAGCAAACAGG
rnacentral:rRNA from 1 species